UACGUAGGGUGCAAGCGUUAAUCGGAAUUACUGGGCGUAAAGCGUGCGCAGGCGGUUUUGUAAGUCUGACGUGAAAUCCCCGGGCUCAACCUGGGAAUUGCGUUGGAGACUGCAAGGCUAGAAUCUGGCAGAGGGGGGUAGAAUUCCGCGUGUAGCAGUGAAAUGCGUAGAGAUGUGGAGGAACACCGAUGGCGAAGGCAGCCCCCUGGGUCAAGAUUGACGCUCAUGCACGAAAGCGUGGGGAGCAAACAAG
rnacentral:rRNA from 1 species